CACAACGCCCAUCGCUCCCCAGCCCUGAGUAACGGAAUGGCCCAAAAUUCCCGCCCCCGCCACUCGAUGGAUCCAAACGCGGGCGCCAAAACCGCCGCAACCGCCGUCAUCGCCGGCCGGCGACCUCUCCUCCAGUGCCUAUCCGACAUAGACGCGGCCCUGUCCCGCACCCUCCACCACCACAACUUGUUCCCCCGACCCCUCUUCUUACUGCUCGAGCUCUCCGCUGACUUCCGCCUCUUCUUCCCACUUGCCCUCUCCAUCUUCCUCUCCCCCACCCUAUCCGCCCUCCUCCGGCCCUUUCUCGUCCCCCUCCUUCUCGGUCUCCUCCUCGAUCUGGCCCUGAUCGGCCUCAUCAAGAUCGUCUUCCGCCGUCCCCGCCCUGUCUACAACAAGAACAUGAGCGUCGCCGUCUCCGUCGACCACUACUCCUUCCCCAGCGGCCACUCAUCUCGGGUUUGCUUCGUCGCGGCGUUGUUCUACCUGACGAGUGAGUCUAUAAAGCGCGCCGCUGUCGCUGAUCAUCGGCUGGUUUUGUGGGCUUGGCUAUGGGCCGCGGCAACGUCGGUCUCUAGGGUUUUGCUUGGGCGCCAUUACGCAUUUGAUGUCUUUGUAGGGUCGUGUUUGGGUGUUCUUGAAGGCCUCUUCGCCUUCCAUUAUCUCAGCUUCUAGUAGACUCCGAGGACAAUUUUUCACAGUUCCUCGUGUCCAUGGAUGGUGCUUUAAUACCUUUGGAUUUGUUUGAAAAGUUGUACAUAUCGCUUUACUAAAGCUGAAGAGGUCCUUGUCACUGUUCCCAGUCAAGUGAAGCCACCUUGUUGAUAAGGUGGGACCACUAUGCAUGGGACCUGCUCAUGAAGCAAUAUGAUUUCGGAAAACAAGGACGGCUAGGCAUAAAUACGAGAAAAUGACUCAUGUAUGUGGUAUUGAGAUCCUGAAUGAUGCAUUGCAUGUUUGUCUACCAUAAUGGAGGCCCAGUCAAAGCCCCUAUCGACUGCAGCACCACUCCCCCGCCAGUACAGUUACUUAUGACUCCAUAUCUUUGGCCUGAGCUGCUCUGGUUUUGGUGGAGACCCUUGGCAGAUUCGUAAGGAGUAGAUUAUGGGCAGGCAAUGUCUUCAUCCGCAGGUCCUGCAGCAAUUGUCAAUGAACCUGUACAGUCCCUAUGUACUAUAGUUGGCUCGUGGUGAAAGAAUCUGUCCAGAUUUGGUUCAUGCCAUGCAGCGGGAAGCGAAUCUGGCCGAAUGUGGGGAGAGGGGCCGGUGAGGACCACUGACUGAGAUGGGCCAUUUUGCUAGAUUUUGAAUGGGAGGGAAGGGGUAGGGAGGAAGGGAGGAGGAGAGUUCACAGGUUUUGCUGAGAGAGAUUCAACUGAACCCCACCCAACGACUGUGCAUUUACGUCGCUAUUGAUUGCAACAGAACAUAUAACCUGGGCAGACUGGUUUCAGUCAUAAAAGGGCACUGACACCACUCAUGGAGAAGAAUAUACAUACAUAUAAUAUAUAUAUAUAUAUAUAUAUAUAUAAGAAAUCACAAAAGUGAGGAGAAAUCCUACUGGCGGAAUGAAGACAGUGCGUGGUCAUGUGAGGCCCUGAGGAAAAUAAUGGUCCCCGAACCCGAGCUAUCAUACUCCUGGCAUGAAAUGGGUUUCGGUCGUGCUAUAGCAUUGGAUCGGUUUACGUCCUAAUAGCUAAGUUGAGUUUAGGAUGCCCGAUCCGGGUGGCCCUAGGUUCUCUGGUGGAGAUGCCGUUGGGCAAUGGACAAAAUCGACCUUUCAAACUGUUGGAUUCAAUGUCGACCCGAGGCAUCUUGGGUGGGAGAUACCUUAACCUUCUGGUGGGACACAGUUGGACGUCUCUGUUUUCUGUCAAAUAUUAUCCGCGGUCACGAACUUUGCCCGGAUCUGAUUUGAUUAAUGAAGAGAUUGCUAAUCGGCUGACAUCUUAAAAUUC